rnacentral:rRNA from 1 species
AUUGAACGCUGGCGGCAGGCCUAACACAUGCCAGUCGAGCGGAGCGGCGGUCGGGUGAGUAAUGCCUAGGAAUCUGCCUGGUAGUGGGGGAUAACGUCAGGAAACGGGCGCUAAUACCGCAUACUAUCGGAUGAGCCUAGGUCGGCUUGGCUAUUUGGUGGGGUAAAGGCCUAACAAGGCGACGAUCCGUAACUGGUCUGAGAGGAUGAUCAGUCACACUGGAACUGAGACACGGUCCAGACUCCUACGGGAGGCAGCAGUGGGGAAUAUUGGACAAUGGGCGAAAGCCUGAUCCAGCCAUGCCGCGUGUGUGAAGAAGGUCUUCGGAUUGUAAAGCACUUUAAGUUGGGAGGCGUUACCAACAGAAUAAGCACCGGCUAACUUCGUGCCAGCAGCCGCGGUAAUUC